rnacentral:rRNA from 1 species
UACGUAGGGUGCGAGCGUUGUCCGGAAUUAUUGGGCGUAAAGGGUGCGUAGGCGGUUUCCUAAGUUUGAUGUGAAAUCCCGGGGCUUAACCCUGGAAUUGCAUUGAAUACUGGGAGACUAGAGUACUGGAGAGGAAACUGGAAUUUACGGUGUAGCAGUGAAAUGCGUAGAGAUCGUAAGGAGGACCAGUGGCGAAGGCGAGUUUCUGGACAGUUACUGACGCUGAGGCACGAAGGCCAGGGGAGCAAACGGG